rnacentral:misc_RNA from 1 species
GAUCAAACGAAUCAUGCACUAAAAAAAGAUGAAAAACCAAAAAAUCAUCAUCAUCGCUUACCGCUUUGCUAUGAUUAUUGCAUCUUAUGUGCCCCACAUAUUGAUGUGCGUUUAAUAUUGUUUCUCUAUCUACUCAUCAAAUCACGACUGUAAAUGUAAUUACAAAUCCAACCUCUGAAGGUAUAUAUAGAUGGCCAAAACAAGAUCAUCCACGCUAGGGAUUGAAGAGUUGUGAAGUGGAGAAGAGAUGGCAGGUGAGGAAGAGACAGUGAGCAACAAACAGGUGAUAUUCAAGGGUUAUGUGAGUGGUUUUCCUAAAGAAACAGACAUGUAUUUGACCACUACUUCUACUAAACUCAAAGUACCAGAAGGUAGUAAAGCUGUUUUCGUUAAAAAUCUCUACUUGUCCUGUGAUCC